ACACCCCUGGUUGCAUUCCCACAACCCUAUUGCAUCUGUGAUACAGAACACAAGGCAAAAGUAAAAAACUCAUCAGGGAAGGCUUCCGGGAGAGGCGUUUUCAGUAGGCUAAAGAAGAGAGGCACAGUAUUCGUUCAUGUAUGGCUGUGAGAGGGCACAGGGUCUCAGAUGAAAGAAUUCACACACCCUCCUGCCAAGACUCAGAAGCUGAACUGGGCAGCCACUGUAGCAUUGCAAAGCAAUGCCCUUGACUAAAGAUGAAAGAGCAGCUCCUGUUAUGCUCGGAUUCGGGACCUCCAAAAGACCACCACAGACCAAGAUCCAUAUGAGUCCUGGAAGGAGAAAAGCAAAUAGUGAAGCUCUGGGUAACCAUGGGUCCUGGAGGAAGGAAGAUAAGCAGUGAACACGGAGUUAUGAGCUUUUCCCAGUGACACUCAUUUUCAAACUUUUUACAACUGCUCUCUUGAGUUAAAAUUUGAACCUGCUAAGCUAGGUCCCUGACUGUCCAAACCGCACAUCUGCAGUCUCCAGUGAUUACUUUGCCCUCAUCGUAAACUAUAAAACCCAGACUCCUUCUGCAACCCGAGGGCCAUUUCCUAUACCUAGAAAAUGAGUCCUCCCAUGCCUCAUGAUUGACUUUGCUUACAGAAUAAAGGAAAGCUUGCUGACAGGAGGUCUGCUUCCUGUCUCCUGCCUCUGUCAUUUGUGGA